GCCUUCGUGGUUUAACAGUUAGCACACUCGGCUCGUAUUCGAGAGGUCCAGGUUUGAGUCUUGGCGAUGGCA
rnacentral:tRNA from 1 species